CUUAUUAUUAUUUUUCAUUGUAUUUAGUUUUCAUUAUUAUCUUGUUAUUGUUAAAACUACUAAAAUUUAUGUUUAUUUCAGAAUAAUAAAAAUGAAUAAACAAGAGAAAAAUCAAUACUUGAGGGAAUGGCGCCAAAGUAAUUAAGACGCACUUGUAAAUGAAGAAAUUGACUCACAUCACAUAUCGACUCUAUUAAUAAUAUUAAUAGAGUCGAGAGUUGAAUUGAUUUCAAAAACAUUGAAAUUAAGAACUAUAGUGACUUUUAUUUUGUCUCUGAUCAUAAAUAUACUUCUGGAACUGAGAGUUCUAUUCUAGACUCUGAGGCUCCUGUGAGUGAUGAUAAUGAAGAUCUUCAUGAUGUACUUGUUACAUAACGUACGAGUACUUGUUACAGAGAUUGCCAAAUAGAUUUUAAAACACAGAAUAACUAGAAAUGCAAGUGACGAAUUGUUAACCAUUUAUACCAGUAUAGUUAUAAUGUUGAUUUACCAAAAUGUACAAGGAAAAUUUUAAAUACUCCUAGGAAUAUUCCAAGCUAGUUAAAAUGUGGGGGUAAAUAUUUUUACCUUGGUAUUUCAAAUGACAAAUCAAGAACUUUAGCAAUCAACCAGCAUUACAGAUUUGAGUCAAAUGCAAUUUCUUUAGUUGUCAAUGUAGAUAGCAUUCCCUUAUUAAAGUCAUCUAGCACACAUGUUCGGCCUAUAUUAUGUAUGUUUGACAAAGUGACACCAAUUACUGUAGCAUUAUUUGUUAGUGAUAUCAAGCCAAAUAAUUGUAAUGAUUUUUAAUAUGAUUUUUUGCAUGAGUAUGAGUUAUUAUUUGCAAAUGGUUUUUAGUAUUAUAUAUAUAACUUCAAUUAAUUCUUGAGAAAAGGUGUUGCUAAUGUGCCAAUAAAAAGUCAGAAAGUGUAAGCAUAACCAUUUUUAAAAAGAUAGAGUCCCUUGAGGAAUUUGAUGAGCUUGAAACCAGAUUAAAAGACAACGGGGAGAACACUUUGUCACCUCAUAAAAGCAGGUGGAAAAAUGUUAAAGAAAAUACAAAAAAUGUCAUGGUCAGAAUUAUGGAGCAUCAUGUUAAGCCCAAGUUCAAUAUGAAAAGCAAAAUUCGUGGUGAUAUAAAGAAGAAGUCAUCCAGCUAACGCACGAGAGUUCGACGGAAGCAAACAAAAGAUCAAAUAGGAAACAUUUUAAAGUUCUCUUCAUUAAACAAUUAUUUAUUUUUGAGUUUUUUUGUAAAUUUAUAAUACAAAAGAAU
rnacentral:lncRNA from 1 species